rnacentral:tRNA from 1 species
UGCAGGAGUGGCGGAAUGGGCAGACGCGUACGUUUAAGGGGCGUAUACCGUGAGGUGUAUGGGUUCAAGUCCCAUCUUCUGCACCAA